rnacentral:rRNA from 1 species
GACGAACGCUGGCGGCGUGCUUAACACAUGCAAGUCGAACGGAGCGAAUGAAAGCUUGCUUUUAUAAGCUUAGUGGCAAACGGGUGAGUAACACGUAGACAACCUGCCGACAGGAUGGGGACAACAUUCCGAAAGGAAUGCUAAUACCGAAUGAAGUGCAGGGGAGGCAUCUCCCCUGCAUGAAAGAUGGCCUCUAUAUAUAUGCUAUCACCUGUUGAUGGGUCUGCGUCUGAUUAGCUGGUAGGUGAGGUAACGGCUCACCUAGGCGACGAUCAGUAGCCGGUCUGAGAGGAUGAACGGCCACAUUGGGACUGAGACACGGCCCAGACUCCUACGGGAGGCAGCAGUGGGGAAUCUUCCGCAAUGGGCGCAAGCCUGACGGAGCAACGCCGCGUGAGUGAAGAAGGUCUUCGGAUCGUAAAAGCUCUGUGAUGGGGAUGAAACGUGCCCUAAUGCG